GAGAAAGUGAGAGAAGAGGAAAGUGAGAGGAGAGGACAGAGAGAGGGGAGGCAGAGGAGAGACAGGAGAGAGAGAGAGGGCAGCAACAGCAGAGUAAUUGGCCCGAGACGUGCCACUAAUGCUGCCUCAUCUUCAUUGUAUUCUUUCUUCAAGCACUACUUCUCCUCCCCUCUUUCCUGUUGUACACCUCCACUCUGGCCACCCCUCCCCCUGUGCUCUCCCCCGCUUUUUUUUCUCCCCUCUCCUUGACUCUCUCCUUUACAGGCACUCGUUUGCAGCACUUUCUGUCCUCUCUCACCUUCUCA